rnacentral:rRNA from 1 species
ACAGGCCUCACACACGCCAAGCCGAGGGGAAAACGACGGGGAAGCCUCGCCUCCCUCGGGCGUCGACCGGCGCACGGGCGAGUAACGCGUCACCAACCCGCCUCCGAACCGAGGGAUAACCCGUUCGAAAAGUCGGCCUAAUAACCUCACGGCAUUCGUUCUCGCGGGCAUCCAACGAACGAUUAAAGAUUUCAUCGGUCAGGGACGGGGAACGCCGUCUGAAUAUCUUGUUGGCGGGGUAACGGCCCACCAAGGCUACGAUCAGUAGGGGUUUCUGAAAGGAAGGUCCCCCACAUUGGAACUGAGACACGGUCCAAACUCCUACGGGAGGCAGCAGUGAGGAAUAUUUGGUCAAUGGGCGGGAGCCUGAACCAGCCAAGUAGCGUGCAGGAAGAACGGCCCUAUGGGUUUGUAAACUGCUUUUAUGCGGGGAUAAAGUUGAGGGAACGUGUCCUUCAUUGCAGGUACCGCAUGAAUAAGGACCGGCUAAUUUCCGUGCCAGCAGCCGCGGUAAUACGGAAGGUCCGGGCGUUUAUCCGGAUUUUAUUGGGUUUAAAGGGAGCGUAGGCCGUGGAUUAAGCGUGUUGUGAAAUGCAGGUGCUCAACGUCUGCACUGCAGCGCGAACUGGUCCACUUGAGUGUGCACAACGCAGGCGGAAUUCGUCGUGUAGCGGUGAAAUGCUUAGAUAUGACGAAGAACUCCGAUUGCGAAGGCAGCUUGCGGGAGCACAACUGACGCUGAAGCUCGAAAGUGCGGGUAUCGAACAGGAUUAGAUACCCUGGUAGUCCGCACGGUAAACGAUGGAUGCCCGUUGUCAGGCUGUUUCAGCCUGGUGACCAAGCGAAAGCAUUAAGCAUCCCACCUGGGGAGUACGCCGGCAACGGUGAAACUCAAAGGAAUUGACGGGGGCCCGCACAAGCGGAGGAACAUGUGGUUUAAUUCGAUGAUACGCGAGGAACCUUACCCGGGCUUGAAUUGCAGACGAAGGCUUCAGAGAUGAAGCGGCCCUUCGGGGCGUCUGUGAAGGUGCUGCAUGGUUGUCGUCAGCUCGUGCCGUGAGGUGUCGGCUUAAGUGCCAUAACGAGCGCAACCCCUUUCUUCAGUUGCCAUCAGGUGAUGCUGGGCACUCUGGAGACACUGCCACCGCAAGGUGUGAGGAAGGUGGGGAUGACGUCAAAUCAGCACGGCCCUUACGUCCGGGGCUACACACGUGUUACAAUGGCCGGUACAGAGAGUUGAUUUUGUGCAAACACGAUCUAAUCCUUAAAUCCGGUCCCAGUUCGGACUGGGGUCUGCAACCCGACCCCACGAAGCUGGAUUCGCUAGUAAUCGCGCAUCAGCCAUGGCGCGGUGAAUACGUUCCCGGGCCUUGUACACACCGCCCGUC